ensembl:lncRNA
GUUUGAUCAGUAAACAAGUUUCAAGCAUACAACAGGAUUUCUGUUCCCAAAAACAGAUUCGUCAUCAAAAAUCAAGGAAACUGCAAAAAUCUUCUGCAGAUGAUUCGUAUCUGAAAGUCACGUCCUUAAGAAUCCGAGGACGCAAGACCUGAGUCUACAUCUGGACCUUCAGCUGAUCCGUGUACUGUUCACUGAAGCCAGAAAUGGUUUCAGUGGAAGGGAAACUGGGAGGACAGGUGAGGCGUGAUUGCUCGUGCUGCUCAGGUGUGUCUGCCUUCCCUGCAGCCGCGCCACAGGUAGAUAUGUUGGAGCAGAGAGGAGAGCUGAGAUCGGGUGGUCGACAGAAGGCAGGAAAAUGAUUGGACCAAAGUGAUGACAGCAGAAUCGAGUGUGACAGAGCGACAAAAUGGAACGUAAAAAAUAGACCAUCAGGCCAAACGACCAAGAAUCAGGACACAGGAGUGAAUACAGAUCUUUCUUAUUGAACAUCCAAGACACGUCUCACCUCAUGAUAGCCGGAGUAGGCUCCAGCACGGUGACCCUGACCUGCACAACAGGAAGAAGAUGAAUGGAUGCUUCUUGAUCCAGGUCAUGUUACGGGACUGCAAGAAAUACCAAUUCUUACCCAGAUUUUGGCACCAUAAGGAUGUUUCAAGAAACAAAAUCCCAGACUCAGGAGUGUGAAAGGACAGAAAGUUCCAGGUGGGCACAUUCGUUAUGUUUUUGGGCGUUUCAACUUUAAACUCUACGAUAACAUCGGCACCCAGGUCAGCAGCUUCCUCUGAGUCGUUUUUAUGAAAAAUGUGCCGACGUGUAAGGC